UACGUAGGUGGCAAGCGUUGUCCGGAUUUAUUGGGUUUAAAGGGUGCGUAGGCGGACUGUCAGGUCAGCGGUAAAAUUGAGAGGCUCAACCUCUUCCCGCCGUUGAAACUGGUGGUCUUGAGUGGAUGAGAAGUACGCGGAAUGCGUGGUGUAGCGGUGAAAUGCAUAGAUAUCACGCAGAACUCCGAUUGCGAAGGCAGCGUACCGGCAUCCAACUGACGCUGAGGCACGAAAGCGUGGGGAUCAAACAGG
rnacentral:rRNA from 1 species